rnacentral:rRNA from 1 species
UGUAGUCUCGCACAGAUGCAUAUCAAUAAGCGGAGGAAAAGAAACUAACAAGGAUUCCCUUAGUAACGGCGAGUGAAGCGGGAAGAGCUCAAAUUUGAAAUCUUCAAGGUUUUACCUUGACGAAUUGUAGUUUAAAGAAGUGUUUUCUGCUGAAGUUUUGGUAAAAGUUCUUUGGAAUAGGACAUCAUAGAGGGUGAGAAUCCCGUAUUUGACCAUUAUUUUCAGCUUUGUGAUACACUUUCAAAGAGUCGGGUUGUUUGGGAAUGCAGCCCAAAACGGGAGGUAAAUUUCUUCUAAGGCUAAAUAUUGGCGAGAGACCGAUAGCGAACAAGUACCGUGAGGGAAAGAUGAAAAGAACUUUGAAAAGAGAGUUAAAUAGUACGUGAAAUUGUCAAAAGGGAAGCGUUUAACACCAGUGUUGCUUUCUGAAAAUCAACCUCUGUUAGCUUUAUGCAUGUUUGUUUAGACCUAAUCAGCUAUCUUGCAUGUUCUAUUGUUUGCAGUGGUGCACUUUUCAGUUUACAGGUCAACAUCAGUUUUUUUUACCGUAAAAAAGUUAAAGAAAGGUAGCUCAUGGCUCCGGUCGUGAGUGUUAUAGUCUUUUUCCUAUGCGGUAGGAGAGACUGAGGUCUGCAGCGUAGAUCUUCGGGCUAUGCAUUUGUGCUAAGUUAUAGCAUUUUAUAGACAACUUGUUGACUAUGAUUUGUCUUGUAGCUUACUCGCUUAUGUUAUUUUACCUACGCUUAGGAUGUUGAACUACUGAGACAUAGA